rnacentral:rRNA from 1 species
GAUGAACGCUGGCGGCGUGCUUAACACAUGCAAGUCGAACGGGACGCCUAUGACGGAGUUUUCGGACAACGGAUUAGGCUGUUUAGUGGCGGACGGGUGAGUAACGCGUGAGGAACCUGCCUUGGAGUGGGGAAUAACACGGCGAAAGUCGUGCUAAUACCGCAUAAUGCAGUUGGGCCGCAUGGCUCUGGCUGCCAAAGAUUUAUCGCUCUGAGAUGGACUCGCGUCUGAUUAGCUAGUUGGCGGGGUAACAGCCCACCAAGGCGACGAUCAGUAGCCGGACUGAGAGGUUGACCGGCCACAUUGGGACUGAGACACGGCCCAG